CAUAGCGUUUCACAAUGUGCGCCAUUAACAUUGUUUAUGCAAGCACGUUUCGCAAUGUACGGCGCAGAAACAUUGCCAACACAAAUACGCUUCACGAUGUGCGGCACAGAAACAUCGC
rnacentral:ncRNA from 1 species